rnacentral:rRNA from 1 species
GAUGAACGCUGGCGGCGUGCCUAAUACAUGCAAGUCGAGCGAACGGACGAGAAGCUUGCUUCUCUGAUGUUAGCGGCGGACGGGUGAGUAACACGUGGAUAACCUACCUAUAAGACUGGGAUAACUUCGGGAAACCGGAGCUAAUACCGGAUAAUAUUUUGAACCGCAUGGUUCAAAAGUGAAAGACGGUCUUGCUGUCACUUAUAGAUGGAUCCGCGCUGCAUUAGCUAGUUGGUAAGGUAACGGCUUACCAAGGCAACGAUGCAUGGCCGACCUGAGAGGGUGAUCGGCCACACUGGAACUGAGACACGGUCCAGACUCCUACGGGAGGCAGCAGUAGGGAAUCUUCCGCAAAGGGCGAAAGCCUGACGGAGCAACGCCGCGUGAGUGAUGAAGGUCUUCGGAUCGUAAAACUCUGUUAUUAGGGAAGAACAUAUGUGUAAGUAACUAUGCACAUCUUGACGGUACCUAAUCAGAAAGCCACGGCUAACUACGUG